rnacentral:rRNA from 1 species
AUUGAACGCUGGCGGCGGGCCUAACACAUGCAAGUCGAGCGAGCGGCGGACGGGUGUGUAAUGUCUCGGAAACUGCCUGAUGUAGGGGGAUAACUACUGGAAACGGUAGCUAAUACCGCAUACCAUCAGAUGUGCCCAGCUGGGAUUGGCUAGUAGGUGGGGUAACGGCUCACCUAGGCGACGAUCCCUAGCUGGUCUGAGUGGAUGACCAGCCACCCUGUAACUGAGACACGGUCCAGACUCCUACGGGAGGCAGCAGUGGGGAAUAUUGCACAAUGGGCGCAAGCCUGAUGCAGCCAGGCCGCGUGUGGGAAGAAGGCCUUCGGGUUGUAAAGCACUUUCAGCGGGGAGGCGGUAGCCGCAGAAGAAGCACCGGCUAACUCCGUGCCAGCAGCCGCGGUAAUAC